GGUCAUGAGUGGUGAUCGGCGUGUGAGUGUAUGUUGGAUCCCUGCUUGUGCAGCGACAACGUACCCGUCCAUGCCUCUUCAUUGUUUGAUUCAAGUGCUUUAUUGCCUUGGUCGUAUCGGGUUGCCUGUGUUGUGUACCAUUUGCAAAAGGCAUUGGUUUGGCUAAAAAUAUCCCGUCUCCUCUUAGUGCCGUUGACCACGUGUUUGUGGCACGAGGGGGAACCCAAAAGCAGUCGACGUGUAUCCACUUCUUUUUCGUGCGUGCAUGAAGGGAAUUUGGCCCAUGUCGGCUUGCUCGAUCUCUCGGUUGCGGUGCAUAAUUCGGGUACGAGGCCCUCGAGCCUCUGUUCUGCCCAUAAAAUAAGCGUUCUACGCUUCAUGCGAACGACACUCGUCAUCGUUUUGGUCGGGUCCUCGUGACUCGACUCAUGCGUUGCGGCGUCGAUGAAGGAAUGCUACCUGGUGAUCCUGCCAGUAGUCAUAUGCUU
rnacentral:rRNA from 1 species